GUAACGGGGAAUCAGGGUUCGAUUCCGGAGAGGGAGCCUGAGAAACGGCUACCACAUCUAAGGAAGGCAGCAGGCACGCAAAUUACCCACUCCCAGCCCGGGGAGGUAGUGACGAAAAAUAACGAUGCGAGACUCUUCCGAGGCCUCGCAAUCGGAAUGAGUCCAUCCUAAAUCUUUGGACGAGGAUCCAUUGGAGGGCAAGUCUGGUGCCAGCAGCCGCGGUAAUUCCAGCUCCAAUAGCGUAUAUUAAAGUUGCUGCGGUUAAAAAGCUCGUAGUUGGACUUUCUAGAUCCAUUUCGUGGGUGAGUCGCUUGUUGUACUAGCGAUUCGCGUCAGUCACUAGAUAAUGUCGAGUUUCGGCGGCGAGUACUUCUACUAAGUUGGCUUCGGCUUUCUAUAGGGGAGCCGUCGUCGUUUCGCGGUAAACUUUCUAGCGGACGGUGUUUCUCGGUCUUCGGGUAUAGCUCGCCCGCGUUUGGUACAAUUAAAAUUUUGUCGGCUCGCUCGGAGUGCUCUUUACCGAGUGUUCCAGGGUGGCCGACACGUUCACUUUGAAAAAAUUAGAGUGCUUAAAGCGGGCUGUAAAAACGGCCGGAAUGUCUGUGCAUGGAAUGAAGUAACAGGACCUCGAUUCUGUUCUUUUUGUCGGUUUUAAUGAACCGAGGUAAUGAUUAAAAGGGACAGACGGUGGCAUUAGUAUUGCGACGCUAGAGGUGAAAUUCUUGGACCGUCGCAAGACUAACUACUGCGAAAGCAUUUGCCGAGAAUGUUUUCAUUAAUCAAGAACGAAAGUUAGAGGAUCGAAGGCGAUCAGAUACCGCCCUAGUUCUAACCCUAAACUAUGCUAACUAGCGAUCCGCCGAAGUCAUUCCCACGACUCGGCGGGAAGCCCCAG
rnacentral:rRNA from 1 species